rnacentral:hammerhead_ribozyme from 1 species
GUCCAGAUGACGAGUCCCACACAGGACGAAAUGAGCAACCUGGAU